rnacentral:lncRNA from 1 species
UACGUCCUAAAGCAAAGUAAAACUGCAUUUGCAAAUCAGUCUCCUAGUUACCUGUCAAGUCGGGAGCGUCAGGAUUUUUAGGUAUGUCCUGAAGCAGCAGAUGACAAGCUAUUGAAGUAAAAAUUCUGAAUAAAAUUAGGGCAGCCCAUUAGUCCAAACAGGGGGACACACCGUAAAAGACUUACUGGAUUUGUGAACUGAGAUUUUUAUGUGUGUGUGUGUGUGUGUGUGUGUGUGUGUGACUGAUAUUCUUACUUUGAAAGUGUGGAAAGUAAUUUUUUGCCUUUUUGGCGAGGGGGAUAAAAACCCAAACUGAGAUCUGAGGUUUUUAUAGUUUGGCAAAUUUCAGAGAUAUGAAAGCAGAAUUUUUGGCACUCAGGGACUGAGAGGCAAAUGACAUCAUAUGGCUUAAGGGAAAUAGAGAGCUAAAAAAGUACAUUUGGAAAAUUUCAGUAGCUGCCUGCCACUGAAAUCAUUUUGAAUUUUUUUCCCAGUGAAUUUAGUUGUCACAAAAGGCACUGGAUUGAUGACCCUGCAAAGAAAAAAUGGCAAGUCUCAGGUCUCUCUUAAGGGCCCCCAGGGUUAGAAGGCAAGGAGUUGUGUUGUCAUAGUUGGCUUUCAGGAAGUGACUCCCUGAAUUGGUGACACAUUGGGAGUGAGUUAAAGGACCCAGCUAUGUUCCUAUUGGCUUGUAGAGAGGAAAGAGAGCUAGCUGUCACUCCGUAGUCCCGGUUUCUUGAUCCUGGUGGCAUCCCAAGUAUGAUUUGAGGGAUUAUAUAUUUGGAAGCUCAAGGUAGUCAUCCCAAAGCUUCUCUUUGGGAUGUUUCCUGCAUCCCCCUAAGAGGAGUUCACGGAAAUAACAUCAUAUUCAGUAAAUGGCAGACUAAUUCAAAGACAGGAUUAGAUGGAGAAAAGACAAGAGGCAAAAACAUUUUCCCUUCAAACCAUUACUGAUCACAUUCAUCACCCCUAGGGUGGGUUAGAGGAAAUGAAUGGGCAAAGGGGAUGUAUCAAGAGUUACCCUGGAACAAGGACGGGAGGACUACACUGAGUGGAAUUGUUCCUGGCUCUUCUUUUUCUCUGUUCUCC